ACCCUGUAUGUGUUUCGUUAUUGUGAUAUACCUGUUGUUCACUUCCAUCUCAAUGCUCCUGUUGUGGUGAGUCUAAGAAGCUGGCCCGUAAUUUUGCUGCCAGUAGUUCUAGACAAAAAUCAGAUGGCCGUUGUUACUCCUAUCAUAAGUGGUAGUAAUUGUGGUAGUUAUUAAAGCGGAUAAAAUUUUCUUUCGA